UACGUAGGGGGCAAGCGUUGUCCGGAUUUAUUGGGCGUAAAGAGCGUGUAGGCGGCCGUACAGGUCAGCUGUGAAAACUCGAGGCUCAACCUCGAGACGUCGGUUGAAACCGUACGGCUAGAGUCCGGAAGAGGAGAGUGGAAUUCCCGGUGUAGCGGUGAAAUGCAUAGAUAUCGGGAAGAACACCAACGGCGAAAGCACUCCGCUGGGCCGAAAACUGACACUGACAGACGAGAGCUAGGGGAGCGAAUGGG
rnacentral:rRNA from 1 species